rnacentral:rRNA from 1 species
UACGUAGGGGGCAAGCGUUGUCCGGAAUUAUUGGGCGUAAAGCGCGUGUAGGCGGCUCGGUAAGUCUGCUGUGAAAGUCCAGGGCUCAACCCUGGAAUGCCGGUGGAUACUGUCGAGCUCGAGUCCGGAAGAGGCGAGUGGAAUUCCCGGUGUAGCGGUGAAAUGCGCAGAUAUCGGGAGGAACACCAGCGGCGAAGGCGGCACUCUGGGCUGGAACUGACGCUGAGGAGCGAAAGCGUGGGUAGCAAACAGG